rnacentral:misc_RNA from 1 species
GAAGUAGUUCUGAAAGAACAAUCUCCUUGCUUUUCACUAAGUCUUGCUGCACCCCCUACAAAGAGACAUUAGCCACACUGGAAGGUACAUUUGCUUAAACUCUUUCACCUUCAGUGUUUACUCGCCAAUUAGGUUGUUGGGGAGGUCAAAUAGGGUGUGCCUUAUGUCAUGCGCUUCCUGAGCUCUCAUGGCUACAUCUGCCGGUUCAUCUGUCUACAUAAACUGCAUGGAGAAAAGUUAUUGGAUCCCAUCAAUCGUUUUAUGUACAACUGUUUUAUUAAAGCCAUUGUCGU